GCCAGAUGUAUUAUGCUUUGACUGAUCAUACUACAGUGCAGACAUAAAUAAUGACAUAUAGUUCAGAGUUAUGAUAGAAAGUAGUGGUUUUGGAUGAAGAUGGAUAAUGGAAAAUCCCUUGAGAUUAAUCCUCACAUAAGUUGUUUGUGCUUUGAUAUUAUGAAAUAAGUUGCUGACACACUAGCAAAUGGUAAUUUGGAGCUCCAAAACUUCAGAUAUAUAUAUAUAAGCCCAUCCAAAUCUUACCUCAUCUAUUGGAGUUGUAACCAUCAUUCCCUUUUGACACAUUCUGCUACUUGUAAAACUUGGUACAUAUUAGAAAAUAACCGAAGUUCA
rnacentral:misc_RNA from 1 species